AUUGAACGCUGGCGGCAGGCCUAAUACAUGCAAGUCGAGCGCGUGGCGGACGGGUGAGUAAUGUCUGGGAAAUUGCCUGAUGGCGGGGGAUACCUACUGGAACCGGUAGCUAAUACCGCAAACCAUCCAAUGUUCCAUGAUGGGAUUAGCUAGUAGGUGGGGUAAAGGCUCACCUAGGCGACGAUCCCUAGCUGGUCUGAGAGGAUGACCAGCCACACUGGAACUGAGACACGGUCCAGACUCCUACGGGAGGCAGCAGUGGGGAAUAUUGCACAAUGGGCGCAAGCCUGAUGCAGUCAUGCCGCGUGUAUGAAGAAGGCCUUCGGGUUGUAAAGUACUUUCAGCGGGGAGGCGUUACCCGCAGAAGAAGCACCGGCUAACUCCGUGCCAGCAGCCGCGGUAAUUC
rnacentral:rRNA from 1 species